UACGUAGGGUGCAAGCGCUGUCCGGAAUUAUUGGGCGUAAAGAGCUCGUAGGCGGUCUGUCGCGUCGGAUGUGAAAACCCAUGGCUCAACUGUGGGCUUGCAGCCGAUACGGGCGGGCUAGAGUUCGGUAGGGGAGACUGGAAUUCCUGGUGUAGCGGUGAAAUGCGCAGAUAUCAGGAGGAACACCGGUGGCGAAGGCGGGUCUCUGGGCCGAUACUGACGCUGAGGAGCGAAAGCGUGGGGAGCGAACAGG
rnacentral:rRNA from 1 species